rnacentral:ncRNA from 1 species
GCGUUGUUUGAAAGGAGAGAAGGUUAGCGUUCUCCUUGACAAGGAUGGAAGAGUUUCUAGUGACCUUCAGCACACAUUGCCACCUAUACUCUCUCACCAUGUUUUGUGUGGUUAUGUAGUGGUAAAAGCUCU